GACGAACGCUGGCGGCGUGCUUAACACAUGCAAGUCGAACGGUAAGGCCCUUCGGGGUACACGAGUGGCGAACGGGUGAGUAACACGUGGGUGAUCUGCCCUGCACUUCGGGAUAAGCCUGGGAAACUGGGUCUAAUACCGGAUAGGACCACUGCCUGCAUGGGUGGUGGUGGAAAGCUUUUGCGGUGUGGGAUGGGGCCGCGGCCUAUCAGCUUGUUGGGGGGGUGAUGGCCGACCAAGGCGACGACGGGUAGCCGGCCUGAGAGGGUGACCGGCCACACUGGGACUGAGAUACGGCCCAGACUCCUACGGGAGGCAGCAGUGGGGAAUAUUGCACAAUGGGCGCAAGCCUGAUGCAGCGACGCCGCGUGAGGGAUGACGGCCUUCGGGCUGUAAACCUCUUUCCGCACCGACGAAGCGCAAGUGACGGUAGGUGCAGAAGAAGGACCGGCAACUACGUGCCAGCCGCCGCGGUAA
rnacentral:rRNA from 1 species